rnacentral:rRNA from 1 species
CUGGUCUUGACAUCCACAGAACUUUCCAGAGAUGGAUUGGUGCCUUCGGGAACUGUGAGACAGGUGCUGCAUGGCUGUCGUCAGCUCGUGUUGUGAAAUGUUGGGUUAAGUCCCGCAACGAGCGCAACCCUUAUCCUUUGUUGCCAGCGGUCCGGCCGGGAACUCAAAGGAGACUGCCAGUGAUAAACUGGAGGAAGGUGGGGAUGACGUCAAGUCAUCAUGGCCCUUACGACCAGGGCUACACACGUGCUACAAUGGCGCAUACAAAGAGAAGCGACCUCGCGAGAGCAAGCGGACCUCAUAAAGUGCGUCGUAGUCCGGAUUGGAGUCUGCAACUCGACUCCAUGAAGUCGGAAUCGCUAGUAAUCGUGGAUCAGAAUGCCACGGUGAAUACGUUCCCGGGCCUUGUACACACCGCCCGUCACACCAUGGGAGUGGGUUGCAAAAGAAGUAGGUAGCUUAACCUUCGGGAGGGCGCUUACCACUUUGUGAUUCAUGACUGGGGUGAAGUCGUAACAAGGUAACCGUAGGGGAACCUGCGGUUGGAUCAC